rnacentral:tRNA from 1 species
AAGUAAUGAAGUAAAAAUUUUACAUUUAGUUUCGACCUAAAAUUAAGAGAGUAAUCUCCUUACUUA